rnacentral:rRNA from 1 species
GACGAACGCUGGCGGCGUGCUUAACACAUGCAAGUCGAACGGAAAGGCCCUGCUUUUGUGGGGUGCUCGAGUGGCGAACGGGUGAGUAACACGUGAGUAACCUGCCCUUGACUUUGGGGUAACUUCAGGAAACUGGGGCUAAUACCGGAUAGGAGCUCCUGCUGCAUGGUGGGGGUUGGAAAGUUUCGGCGGUUGGGGAUGGACUCGCGGCUUAUCAGCUUGUUGGUGGGGUAGUGGCGUACCAAGGCUUUGACGGGUAGCCGGCAUGAGAGGGUGACCGGCCACAUUGGGACUGAGAUACGGCGCAGACUCCUACGGGAGGCAGCAGUGGGGAAUAUUGCACAAUGGGCGGAAGCCUGAUGCAGCAACGCCGCGUGCGGGAUGACCGCCUUCGGGUUGUAAACCGCUUUCGCCUGUGACGAAGCGUGAGUGACGGUAAUGGGUAAAGAAGCACCGGCUAACUACGUG